CGCGCCGUAGAGAUGCAGCAGAACAAACCGUUUGCGACGCACUUUUAAAAGACCCAGGUAACUGGCUGAUGGUUCACUGGAAUGCUGACUGCUGCUGGCUGACUGGGCAGUGUCACCUGUCCCUGUCUCUCCUCUCUAGCCAUGUCCUUUUUCUUCACUGUCACUUUACCUUCUCUGAGUGUCCUCGUUCUUUUUUCCUCAACCUUUGAAACUGAUUGAGGCAGAAUACAUGGUCUAGGGGUGCAUCGUGGAGCAGGGCCCUCCUCUUUUUGACUACAGGACGAUGUACAAAGAUUGUGGGAAUAGCAUCUGGUCUCAGCCUACUCUUGAAUUUUUUGGUCAUGACCAAUUGCUUUGCCUCAAUGUGCCUUGCAGAGUGACUUGAGUUUAGUUUUUGCCUACCCACAUACAGUACAUACACAUGGUGGUUAAAUGCACAGUUAUAGGUAACACUGAUGACUCCCUGCAAAUGUCUCACUAUUGAGUCUCCGCUCCCUGGGUUUUGCAAGGCUUUGCUUGUUCCUUAUUUCCAGUAAAUAAUUUUCCAUGUAAAAAGUGCAAAUAAAUUUAAGUAUAAUUACCUCACA